rnacentral:rRNA from 1 species
CAGCCGCCACGGUAACACGAAGGGGGCUAGCGUUGCUCGGAAUUACUGGGCGUAAAGGGCGCGUAGGCGGCGCUCCAAGUUAGGCGUGAAAUUCCCGGGCUCAACCUGGGGACUGCGCUUAAGACUGGAGUGCUUGAGGAUGGAAGAGGGUUGUGGAAUUCCCAGUGUAGAGGUGAAAUUCGUAGAUAUUGGGAAGAACACCGGUGGCGAAGGCGGCAACCUGGUCCAUUACUGACGCUGAGGCGCGAUAGCGUGGGGAGCAAACAGGAUUAGAUACCCCUGUAGUCCCUGUCUCUUAUAC